GCUCGCCAUCGGCCUCUCCUCCCAUCGAUCGCCUCUGGUCUAAUGUCCCAUCGACUUGAUGUCUCCUCCUUGCGCUGCUCCCCGUCCCGACUGCCCGUCGCCUCGCCCGCCUGUCCUUGUCGGUCUCCGUCCUUACUGUCACCACCACGGCGAUUCUGGAUCCAUGCUCGCCCAUCGCCGCCGCACGUCCUACCAAAGGUUGCUGGCUUGCUGCACAGAUGCUUAGAGGGGAGAGGCCUUGGCAUCAGGGAGCACGAGCAGUGCCAUGGUGUCCUCCCGCACCGAUAUUAUCUCUUGAUCCGACGAAGCAUGACGUCUCCUUCUCCGAUUAAGCCCGACCUGCAGCGGGUUGUUUUCAUUUCCAGGUUUAGCAUCAAUCACAUCACAGGCAGGAUGAACAUCAUGGUGGAUUGGAGCACGGUGAGCCCAACAACACCAGAAACGCCAUGGUGUUAGAGUAUAAGCAGGGGCGUAUAGGUGAUGUAGGCAUAUGGAUAUAGGAUCACCGUCGACAGGUGAAGUAGGUGGCGAUGAUGACCAGCUUAGCCAGGUACUUGAGCAAACUUUCCCAUUAACAUGUACUCUCCCAACUUCAAUCAAUCCCUCAAUCUUGAGAGAGUACACAUAACGUAGGUCGGUUGUUGAGAGCAGCAUGUUCGUACAUGAGGAAUUUGAUUUAUCGGCUUCAGGUUUUGAGAGCCAACAGGUAUGUACAAUAUGUGCUAAGAAUUUUUAUGGGUAAUCAAUCUUAGGAGAGAAAGGAUUGUUAGCAUUUUUAUGGGUAAUCAAUCUUAUGGGAAAGAACUGAUUUUUGUCUCUACUAAACAGUAGCACUCCUAACCUAUUUGAACAAAAAAUUUCAGGAACAUAAAAGCAGUAGUGACUUGACCAUGCAAUAAGCUAAAUUGUUAUUACGGUUUCUGUUGUAACAAGUUGAAGUUAUUCAAAAGAAAAGUUGAAGUUUCUGUUAGCAGCAUCAACUUCUUUUCAGAUGUCCGAAAGUACUUCAGUUCAAGAUUUAGAAACAAUCAGCCAACUUAACUGUCAGCCUAAAACCAUUCUCUGUUGCAUUAUUAAGUUAUGUCAAGCUAUUAUAAUUCAUUCAGCAUGUGCAUUCAAGUAUUCCACUAAUUUGCACAUUGAAUUGCAAAUGUAAUCAAAGGAGGUAGGGUAUGGAGGGUACUUGGUGGGGAGGCGUGCAUCCACUUCUUUGGGUGGGACGCCAACUAUAGCAGCUUUGGGACGAUGCCCUUGGUGGCGAGGUGUGCAUGCACCGCUUGGUAAUGAGUCGCCAACAACACUGGGUAGGGGGUUUUUUUUAACAGAGACGCAUGAAGCGUCCGGCUUUAAAUUAAUAAAACCCCAAGGCAGCAUCCACACAAGAUUUUCAACAUUACAAACCGGUAAGACAUAAGUUUCGCGGGCUCGACGUCCCGGCAAAGGCUAAGAACCAAGUAGUUUAAGGAUCACAAAAGCGGAGCGAAACAUAGGGCUCAACGCAAAAGACUCAAGCUUGUUGUCCUUCUUGUCGCGAUUGGGUAGGGGCUUUGGGUUUGGCGCCUACACUACACCGUCGCGCUGGUGACGAUGUUGAGUGCCUCAAUGGUGUGUGUGCGUGUGUGUGUGCGCGAGAGAGAAAAGGUGGGUGGCUGAUGAAGGAGGUGUGCUACCGCCUACUGCCGAAGUAUGAUCUCUGUUUUGAAUUUUUCUUUUGUGUGCGUCGCUUCUUAUUCGAGAAUUGUUAUGUGUGAGUGUAUCUUUUUGUUUUCUCAAUUUUUGACUUAUAUUUAUUUGUUUAUGAUUAUACUAGAAUUUCUUAUUAGAUGGUUAAAUAAAUUAGUAGUGUCCUUUUUCUUCUUCUAUACAUACAACAUCAAAAAGUAUAUAGAAGAUGAUUAUAACUUGUAUAGGUCUUUGCUCCGUUUUCAGAAAAUAGAAGAUGAUUAUAACUUAUACGGGUGCUUUUGCUGAUUUAUACAUCUAGCUUCACAAUGAUAGCACAUGCUUGUGGGAUGUACUAAUAAACAUUAAAUCUCAAUAAUGGAGGCGAAUGGUGCUUUCAGAACUUUUUUUUGACUGGUCUAUUUUAAUUCAGAUUAAAUCAACAAAAGACUUGCAUCUGUAUUUGUUUCUUGCUGAUGAAAGACAACCGCUUAGUUUCUGAUGAGAGAGUUAAAUGUUGUAGUUGUUUUGAAGUAAUUGCCAACUCUUGCUUGGAGAAAGGAAUCACCAAAGUCGUCUGACCCGAGGGGGUUUCCUCUACUAUGGCUGCAUCAAAGCUCUAGCUGAUGCUGCUAGAGAGAAUGGGAUUCUGUCCUCUUAACCUAGUGUGUUGCAGCAGCUUUUGAUGUCGUUUUAGCACCAACCAAUGUCAUAAUUUAUCAUGUGUGCAAAUGAUUUUUUGACUGUAGUAUGAGUAUAACACAUGGUUCAGAGAGGUUCGGUCAGAUACUAAAGCAUAUCCUUAGUCUCAAAGUCAUAAGCUAUUCCUUUUCAACAUUGCAUCUAUCCAGGCCUUCAUUUAGGAGAGGA